rnacentral:rRNA from 11 species
UCUAGCCAUUCUUUUUAUUCUAUACCCCCUUUGAAUUGGCUGGCCUUCUCCAGCCUUGGAAACUAAGCAGAAUCAGGCCUGGUUCGUAUUUGGAAGGGAGACCAAAAGAGAACACCAGGGAUUUCUAGGU